GGGGAAUAUUGGACAAUGGGCGCAAGCCUGAUCCAGCAAUGCCGCGUGUGUGAAGAAGGCCUGCGGGUUGUAAAGCACUUUUGUUCGGGAAGAAAUCAUGCCGGUUAAUACCUGGUAUGGAUGACGGUACCGAAAGAAUAAGCACCGGCUAACUUCGUGCCAGCAGCCGCGGUAAUACGAAGGGUGCAAGCGUUAAUCGGAAUUACUGGGCGUAAAGGGUGCGUAGGCGGCCUUUUAAGUCGGAUGUGAAAUCCCCGGGCUCAACCUGGGAAUGGCAUUCGAUACUGGGAGGCUAGAGUGUGGGAGAGGGUGGUGGAAUUCCCGGUGUAGCGGUGAAAUGCGUAGAGAUCGGGAGGAACAGCAGUGGCGAAGGCGGCCACCUGGCCUAAAACUGACGCUGAGGCACGAAAGCGUGGGGAGCAAAC
rnacentral:rRNA from 1 species